UNUGAAGUUAAAGGCUGUGGCUUAACCAUAGUACGCUUUGGAAACUGUUUAACUNGAGUGCAAGAGGGGAGAGUGGAAUUCCAUGUGUAGCAGUGAAAUGCGUAGAUAUAUGGAGGAACACCGGUGGCGAAAGCGGCUCUCUGGUCUGUAACUGACGCUGAGGCUCGAAAGCGUGGGGAGCGAACAGGAUUAGAUACCCUGGUAGUCCACGCCGUAAACGAUGAGUGCUAGGUGCUAGGCCCUUUCCGGGGCUUAGUGCCGCAGCUAACGCAUUAAGCACUCCGCCUGGGGAGUACGACCGCAAGGUUGAAACUCAAAGGAAUUGACGGGGGCCCGCACAAGCGGUGGAGCAUGUGGUUUAAUUCGAAGCAACGCGAAGAACCUUACCAGGUCUUGACAUCCCGAUGCCCGCUCUAGAGAUAGAGUUUUACUUCGGUACAUCGGUGACAGGUGGUGCAUGGUUGUCGUCAGCUCGUGUCGUGAGAUGUUGGGUUAAGUCCCGCAACGAGCGCAACCCUUAUUGUUAGUUGCCAUCAUUCAGUUGGGCACUCUAGCGAGACUGCCGGUAAUAAACCGGAGGAAGGUGGGGAUGACGUCAAAUCAUCAUGCCCCUUAUGACCUGGGCUACACACGUGCUACAAUGGCUGGUACAACGAGUCGCAAGUCGGUGACGGCAAGCUAAUCUCUUAAAGCCAGUCUCAGUUCGGAUUGUAGGCUGCAACUCGCCUACAUGAAGUCGGAAUCGCUAGUAAUCGCGGAUCAGCACGCCGCGGUGAAUACGUUCCCGGGCCUUGUACACACCGCCCGUCACACCACGAGAGUUUGUAACACCCGAAGUCGGUGAGGUAACCUUUUAGGAGCC
rnacentral:rRNA from 1 species